GGAUUAGGCAUGCAAGUCGAACGAAGCCUUCGGGCUUAGUGGCGGAAGGGUUAGUAAUACAUGAGUAAUCUGCCCUCGACUCGGGAAUAACGACUGGAAACGGUCGCUAAUACCGGAUACUGUCUUACCUGGCAUCAGGUAAGAUUAAAGCGGGGUUUACCUUGCGGUUGAGGAGGAGCUCAUGCGAUAUCAGUUUGUUGGUGUGGUAAAAGCGCACCAAGGCUAAGACGUCUAGGCGGAUUGAGAGAUCGACCGCCAACACUGGGACUGAGACACUGCCCAGACUCCUACGGGAGGCUGCAGUCGAGAAUCAUUCACAAUGGGGGAAACCCUGAUGAUGCGACGCCGUGUGAACGAUGAAGGCCUUCGGGUUGUAAAGUUCUUUCGCCUUAGAAAAAGGRAUGCAGAGUAAUACGCCUGUAAACUUUGAUUGGUAUAAAGGGUAAAGAAGCACCCGGGCUAAACCUCCGUGGCCAGCAGCCUGCGGUAAAUACCGGAGGGUGCCAAGCCAUUAAUCGGAUUUAUUGGGUGUAAAAGGGGCGCGUAGGCUGUUUGGUAAGUUGGAUGUGAAAUUCCCAGAGCUCAACUUUGGAGCUGCAUUCAAAACUGCCAGACUAGAGGGUAGGCGGAGAAAACGGAAUUCCACGUGUAGCGGUGGAAUGCGUAGAUAUGUGGAAGAACACCAGUGGCGAAGGCGGUUUUCUGGCUUACACCUGACGCUGAGGCGCGAAAGCAAGGGGAGCAAACAGGAUUAGAUACCCUGGUAGUCCUUGCCGUAAACGAUGCAUACUUGAUGUAGCUGGUCUCAACCCCCAGCUGUGUCGAAGCUAACGCGUUAAGUAUGCCACCUGGGGGAGUACGCCCGCAAGGGUGAAACUCAAAAGAAAUUGACGGGGGGGCCCGCCACAAGCAGUGGGAGCCAUGUGGGUUUAAUUCGAUGCUUACGCGGARGAWCYUUACCUCAAGGUUUGACAUGCAGAGGACCGCUCUAGAGAUAGAGUUUCCCUUCGGGGCCUUUGCACAGGUGCUGCAUGGCUGUCGUCAGCUCGUGCCGUGAGGUGUUGGGUUAAGUCCCGCAACGAGCGAAACCCUUAUCAUUAGUUGCCAGCAUUUCGGAUGGGGACUCUAAUGAGACUGCCUGGGUUAACCAGGAGGAAGGUGAGGAUGAUGUCAAGUCAGCAUGGCCCUUAUGUCUGGGGCUACACACGUGCUACAAUGGCUGGUACAAUGAGCAAGUGAAACCGCGAGGUGGAGCAAAUCUCCUAAAGCCAGUCCCAGUUCGGAUUGUAGUCUGCAACUCGACUACAUGAAGUUGGAAUUGCUAGUAAUGGCGUGUCAGCAAUAACGCCGUGAAUACGUUCCCGGGCCUUGUACACACCGCCCGU
rnacentral:rRNA from 1 species